CAGCAGCAGCAGUGGCAGCACCAGCGCCCACAUCGUGGCCAGGAUGUUGUAGCACUUGGCUUUGGAGCCGAGACGCCGGGCUGCCUCCAGAUCUCCAGCCACCUUCUGGUCUCGGGCCUGUGGACCAGCAGCAGGGCCAGUUAAUGGACCCAGUGGCCAUCCCAAGCCAGCAUCUACCUUCCAGGACCCCCGAGGGUAGGGAGUCCUCAUUGGUGCUGGGAGGCUGUCACCACAGGAGCUGAAGCUAGGGAGCUGUGCUAACAGGAGCCCCCGCGUGUGAAAAGCCCCAUUUGAAAGAAGAGACCUUCUUGGAGGGCCCAGCAGCAUCUGUGUGCCGGCGAAGCACAUGUAUGUCAAGAGCCAGAUUGGAUGUGAAAGUUGGACUAUAAAGAAAGCUGAGUACCAGCGAAUUGAUACUUUUGAACUGUGAUGUUGGAGAAGACUCUUGAGAGUCCCUUGCACUGCAAGGAGAUCCAGCCAGUCCAUCCUAAAGGAAAUCAUCCCUGAAUAUUCAUUGGAAGGACUGAUGCUGAAGCUGAAACUCCAAUACUUUGGCCACCUGAUGCGAGGAACUGACUCAUUGGAAAAGACCCCGAUGCUGGGAAAGAUUGAAGGCAGGAGGAGAAGGGGGCGACAGAGGAUGAGAUGGUGGAUGGCAUCACCAACUCGAUGGACGUGAGUUUGAGCAAGCUCCAGGAGUUGAUGAUGGACAGGAAAGCCUGGCGUGAUGCAGUCCAUGGGGUCACAGAGUCGGACACGGCUGAGCGACUAAACUGACUGACUGAGAUUCGAAUAACCGAGUGCCCGCUCCGUGGAAGAGGGCUCCUGGGCUCUCCAGCCUGCUCCUCUAAGGGAGACCUCAGGCUCCCAAACCUCCUGUCUGAGUUAGGACUGCUAUAGCUAGUGCUCAGACCAGUGACUCAUAAAUAAUAGAAAUGUAUCUCUCACUUCUCUAAAGGCUUGAAGGUCCGAGAUGAGGGUGCCAGAAUGGAUGGGCCCUCGUUGAAGACAGCCUAUUUCUCCCUGCUCCUCACUGGUGGAAGGAGCUGGGGUAGGGAUCCACCCUCAUGACCUACUAACCUCCUAAUACCAUCACUUUAGGAUUUCAGUAGGAAUUUGGGGGAACACAAGCAUUCAGUCCACUGUACCCUCUGCUCAGUCCCCGCCCCCGGCACAGGAGGUGGCCACUGGCCACUCCAUCCAUCCAGCUCCACCCAUUCCCGUGCCCCUUCUGCCCCUCACACCGAAUCCACUUGGUCCCAAUUCCAGAAUGGGCAGACUCUCAGCACCACUGAGACCAAGUCAAACUUCCUUCUCCUGGAUUAGUGCAGCCCCUCUGCAUUCUCUCUACAGCAGCCAGAGUGGUCCUGUUACAGCAGAAAGCACAUGUUCCAUUCAACUUCUUUGAUUCAGGAAAUUUUGCUUUCAGGUCCACCUCUUGUGUGAUCUUAUCUAUUUGGAAUAUCCCUCAUAAAUGGCCAUUCUAUUCUAGAUUGUUUUAGUAAGACUUUGCCAUUUUUGUGAUAUAUACAGCUUCUGGGACAGCGGUUCUUAGAUAUAAAAUGAACAGUUGUGCCAGCAGGUGGCGAGCUCCUUUCUUAUAUCUAACCCUUGGGUUCUCUCUGAGACAAACUAAUACCUCAAAGGGACUUGCCUCUGCGAUGCAGAUUGUGCGUGAUUCGUGGUGUACCUUGCUGCUCAAUUUUCUUGGGUUUGAUGAGCAAUCUGGAGUCAAUACAACCA